rnacentral:rRNA from 1 species
CCUACGGGAGGCUGCAGUAGGGAAUUUUCGUCAAUGGGCGCAAGCCUGAACGAGCAAUGCCGCGUGAACGAGGAAGGUCUUCGGAUUGUAAAGUUCUGUUGAAGGGGAAAAAGAGCGGAGAGAGGAAAUGGUCUCCGAUUGAUAUUACCCUUCGAGGAAGUCACGGCUAACUACGUGCCAGCAGCCGCGGUAAUACGUAGGUGGCGAGCGUUAUCCGGAGUGAUUGGGCGUAAAGGGGGCGUAGGCGACCUGCUAAGUCUGGAGUGAAAGGUACCGGCUCAACCGGUACAGGCGCUGGAAACUGGCGGGCUAGAGAGCAGGAGAGGGCGGUGGAACGCCAUGUGUAGCGGUAAAAUGCGUAGAUAUAUGGAAGAACACCAGUGGCGAAGGCGGCCGCCUGGCCUGUUACUGACGCUGAGGCACGAAAGCGUGGGGAGCAAAUAGGAUUAGAUACCCCUGUAGUC